rnacentral:rRNA from 1 species
AGCAGCCGCGAUAAUUCCAGCUCCAAUAGCGUAUAUUAAAGUUGUUGCAGUUAAAAAGCUCGUAGUUGAAUUUUGGAUUCGGCCAAUUGGUCCAUCUUUUAGAUGAGUACUGGUUGUGUUGGGUCUAUCCGCCUGGUGAUACGUAAUGUCCUUUAUUGGAUGUUGCGGGUAGUCAGGACCUUUACCUUGAAAAAUUAGAGUGUUUAAAGCAGGCUUAUGCCGGAAUACAUUAGCAUGGAAUAAUAGAAUAGGACGAAGUUGUUUUAUUUUGUUGGUUUCUAGGACAACCGUAAUGAUUAAUAGGGAUAGUUGGGGGCAUUAGUAUUCAAUUGUCAGAGGUGAAAUUCUUGGAUUUAUUGAAGACUAACUACUGCGAAAGCAUUUGCCAAGGAUGUUUUCAUUAAUCAAGAACGAAAGUUAGGGGAUCGAAGACGAUCAGAUACCGUCGUA